GACAGAGGGUGCAAACGUUGCUCGGAAUCACUGGGCGUAAAGGGCGUGUAGGCGGGUAGGCAAGUCGGGCGUGAAAUCCCUGAGCUCAACUCAGGAACUGCACUCGAAACUGCUUAUCUUGAGUGCCGGAGAGGAAAGCGGAAUACCUGGUGUAGAGGUGAAAUUCGUAGAUAUCAGGUGGAACACCAGUGGCGAAGGCGCUUUCUGGCUUGUAACUGACGCUGUAGCGCGAAAGCGUGGGGAGCGAACCGG
rnacentral:rRNA from 1 species